GCCGGAACCUCAAGCUCAAAGUCUGCACAAGUCUCCAAAAGAGCUGCAGCUGCAACUCCUUCAACAAGUGCCGCUGCUGGGACCUCAAAAUCUCCAAAACCACCAAAACAAGGGCUGCUGCCACCAAGAAAAGCUAAAGGGAAAAAAAUUUGAAGAUGGAGGACUGGAGGAGCAGCUGCAUGGCAGCAAUAGCAUGGAGCAGCUGCAUGUCUUUUUAAACUGCUCUUGUUGUCUUGUUGAACAUUGUUUUGGUUUUUAAUUUGUUAUGUUGUUAAGACAAUAUGUGUUGGUGAACUUGCUAUGUAAUUGUGUUGGUUGCUUGCUUUGAAUGGUUAUUUGCAAGAUGGAUUUAUUUGCAA